AGCAGUAGCCGCGGGAAUACGUAGGUGGCGAGCGUUGUCCGGAAUUACUGGGCGUAAAGGGAGCGCAGGCGGACAUAUAAGUCCAUCUUAAAAGUGCGGGGCUCAACCCCGUGAGGGGACGGAAACUGUAUGCCUUGAGUGCGGGAGAGGAAAGCGGAAUUCCCAGUGUAGCGGUGAAAUGCGUAGAUAUUGGGAGGAACACCAGUGGCGAAGGCGGCUUUCUGGACUGUAACUGACGCUGAGGCUCGAAAGCCAGGGGAGCGAACGGGAUUAGAUACCCGCGUAGUCCCUGUCUCUUAUACA
rnacentral:rRNA from 1 species